GUGGCAAUCCCGGAGCAUAAUAAGCAACCUUACUUUCCUAAAUCUUUUCUUAAUUCAAAACAACCUGCAUUUUCCUUUUCUAUAACCUUGGUAAGAAAAUCUGAGCUAUCCAAAUUGGCCCAGUCUGAGAUCAAUUGUUUCACAAGCAAAGAAUACUGUGGCAACAUAUUACCAAGGCAUGACUGUAUUUUAAAAAGAUCUAUAUCAUCUCCAGACAUCAAACCUGCCUCAUCCUUCCAACACUUGUAAAAUUUCUUUACAAAAAUCAUAUUACCAAUCUCUUCCUUUGCAUCCUGCUUAUAUGCCAAAGCAGUGAAUAUAGACUGCUUAUUCUUCCAUAAUCCCAACAUUUCAGCUUCCACCUUGUUCCAAAUUUUAGCACAUCUUACUGAAGUACUAAACUCAUAAUCACCAAUUCAUUUCAAACCAUAUAACUCAUACUCAGCAUCCAAUGUAAUAUUACACGUCAUCUCACAAAACAAUAUUUUUGUAAAAACACAUAAUGGGUACCCAGCAGAUAUGCCAAUACAGAAAUCACAUUUAUGGGCACACAACUACACACUCUGUCUCCCUCCUAGGAAACACGGAUAGACACAAUAUAAAAGCAAUCUUAAACUAACACCUCCAAAUCUCCAACUAUUCUUGGCCAAAACGCUAGUAUUCAACAACUAAUAAAACAGUUAUUUGCUAGGUUAUUUGGCUGUCAUUCUUAUCAGUAUCACUAGACUGUGACAAACUGAUUCACAUAUAAUUUAAAACAAUACAGCAACAUAAAUUAAACCACUUUCAAGUUAAACUGCACACUUCACACAUUAUCACAAUCACCAUUUACACAAAAUAAACAGUUAACAGCUGUAUUCAGAACAUAUUAUUGGAAGGUAUACCAAUUUUAGUUUAGAUUUAUUUUAGGGAUUCUUAUGUGUACAUUUUCUUAAUUAACUUCAUUACUUUAAUCUACUAUAGUAUUGUAUUUAAAGAAAGGAUCCAUUUAUAUAGCGCGCUCAUAACUCAACUAUUUGUAUAAAACUUCCAUUAACUAAUCUGAGAUGAUGCUGCAUCAACUUAAAUCUUACAGAAAUUGAACAAACAUCUGGACCAGAUUAAACAGACAUGGUUUCACCUGAAUCUUUCAGAACUCUCAGAGACUUAAAAAAUUUAUACUAUACCAUGUUUUAAAGGCAUGGCAAACCUUUAGACCGGUCAGUCUCCAAGAGCCCUUAGUAACACAGGUAAAAACCUUUGUCCAUGAUGUCUGAUUCAGGCUAUAUACCACAAUUUAAAAUAACACAUAAUGUGAGACAUAGAAGACACAAGCAGUAGUUAUUACACUGGAUCAUUUAAAAGGAACCUGUUGCAAUAAAAAGGUUAGUUUACAGUGCAAAAUAAAGCAUGUGUUGGACCGCUGAAAAUGUAAAUGUUGCUCUCUUAUUUUCAAACAAAAAUCAUAUUUACAGUAUGGAUCCUUUGCAACAAACACACAGGGCAGGGAAGAUGUGCUGAUUGGUGUUUCUAUACAAUUAAUCCCAUACGGGGAAUUAACUUUCAAAUACUAAUGAAGUGACUUUUUGUCUCAGUUAUAAAAUAUACUGAGCUCAUCAUGCAAUCAAUGCAACACAUUUACACUAUCCCACUCUCAUAAUAAGUGUAGUGGGCUUAUAGUAUUUUUAAAGCAACAAUCAUUCCAGGCACACAGUUCCCAUGUGAAAUAACUUACAAUAAAACAGAGUAAUAAACUUAUACUUCUA